rnacentral:lncRNA from 1 species
AUUAAAAAAAAAAAUUGAAAUGAAAUUGAAAACAAUGACAACAAUUGCUCUUGACUGCCUGAUCGAGGAAUUAAGAGAUUGCAUACGAAGAUGGACAGUUCGAGAUAAACGAAUGAUAUAUGGCAUUUUGGGGCACGUUGCGCUUAUAUGAUAGAAUUUUUAAUGAUGCUGACAUUUGCCGAAGGACGAAGUCAAUAAAGCACACGGCAGCGUUCAUGGCAGGCACGUAAGCUAUGCAUACAGAGCGCAUAGCAACAACUAUACAAGGCAGUGGAGCGCAUAAUCAACAACACAUGAUCACCUCGUCUAUAUCGUCUAUGAGCUGAGCUGGCUCGAACGCGAAAACUUAAAAAUAACAAAUCUUAUAUACACGCCAUAUGAAUCAACCGAGGAGCAACAGCAGCGUUUGUGCCGGUGACGAAUAUUGCUGACGAUGACAAAUGUAACGGCAAAGAAUUAAACAACAUUUCAUUUGUUUUUGUAUUUAUUUGUUUAACAUUUUUUCCUCGAAUUAGCUAUAUGUAUUAGGCUGUGUACCUAAUAUGUGCUUGAGCGCGACUAAUGCCAACUAACCAUUAGUAAGUUUAGUGUCUGUGAACUACACGCGGCUAAUCAUACAAAUAAUGAUUCAUUAGGGUAAGUGCCAAAAGUGAUUUGUUGUAACGCUGAAUUAUGGCGCAUAUUGCAACAUAUGCUGCUGAUCUAAGCCAAUUUGCCGCUCGAAAACACCAGUGAAGACACGAGCAGGAAGCGCAAAGAAAAAUAUAAAUUGCUUUUCCAACUAUUUUUUUUGGUGUUUUGUUGCCUCAAGUGUCGCUAAAAUAUAUAAGGACGCUUGAAAAGUAACAAUUUCCUACUUAUUUCACGGUUUCUACGGUUUUUUUGCCACACAGUGCAUGCAAAAAAUUCUAACUUUGUUCUAUUUUGCUUCAUUUAUUAACAUAUUAUUUAUUUUUAAAAAAUUCAACAACAAAUUGAAGUUGAUGGAAAACAAAUAAAGUGCUGUCAGCCGACAGCGAAACGAUAAAUAAUGUCUUUUAUUGUUUUAUUUUUUCAAAUUUCAACUUAAAAUGCUGCGGCAUUAUUAUUUUUUUUUGUUUUUUUCCCCCGUUUUUGUUUGGCAGUGUUUCAAUGCACGGCGUGUCGGGCAACAACAGGUGUUGUAGGCGGGUGGCGGCGAGGCGUAUGGAACGCCGGCUAAAAA